CUAAGAUACGGCAAACGUUUCUGAAGAAACAUACCUGAAUAUGAGGUGAAAUGCAGUUUAGGAAGACAGAUAAUACACGCUCAAUUGCUACUCAUCAUUUUACUGAUGGAUAAUCUAGAGGAGUGCAACUGGAAAAGCACAUGUGUGUUCAUGGGAGAUGUUCUGUGCAGUGAGUGAGCUGCUGCUGGGGAGAACCUGGGGUGUGGAGGUGGUGGUGGGAGCUGCUGACAUCCAGUACUCUGGAGCUGGCCAUCUCACCACAGCCUCACAUGAGUUCUGACUCUCCGAGAGGAAGAUACUCUGGGAUGUACUGUAUUUCCUAGGAGCCUCCACAUGAUUUCGAAUUCUAGGUGAUGGGUGAAGGGUUCUCGUGUCUUUUCUAGGAGGUGAACCAUGGAGGGCUUGCUGAUAAAGUCUCAGACUGACUCUCUCUCCUCUGGUUUUAUUUUUGGUUCAUUUUGAUAUAUUGGUCUGAAUUAUUCUGUAUUAUCUCACAUUCCUUUAAAUAAAUUAGUUUCUCCUG
rnacentral:lncRNA from 7 species